CAGACGCAUCGUCAAGAGAUCCGCGUGCAUUGAAAAAAAAAAACGGCAAUGAAAUGUGCGCGUUUUCUGCAGCGUUGCUGACCUGACACUGGCUUAAAAAUGGGCGCGUGCGGUGUUCAGCACCAUCUGUGCGCUCCUUACCGACUCCCUGCCGUUGAGCUGCAUGCCCUUCGCCAGGCGCGACUCCGUCUUCGUCCUCCUCUCCAUUUCCUCCAUGAUUCCUUGGAUGUGAUCCCCGGAGAUCCCGUGGAAAAGCAUGGCUCCCGGUCCUGGACACAACGUGCAACUGCUCGCCUCUGUUUUGCAGCUCACAACUUCCAUAUACCGUGCCUCUGCGCUGCGCUCCGUUUCCUCCUUUUUUUUCCCCCUCCUCUCUUUCUGCUUAUUUUGAAUUUUCUCAGCGCAUCCGAGUGGGCUCUACACAAAACACAAAACAGGAAGAAAAG